rnacentral:misc_RNA from 1 species
AAAAAAAAAAAAAAAAAAAAAAUUAAUAAUCUCAUUUCCCUUUUUCUCUGUUACAUUUAUAACUCAGCUAACAUUAUCCCUAACAAACUGAAGAUGAUCUCUUUAAUCAGCAGAUUGCUCCUCCCUUGAAUUUAUCCUUAUCUGAUCUUUCUGUUGGAGUUUAUCUAUCACAUCCUUCCCUUUUCUUCUGUAGUAGACUUUGAGUUCUCCUGGACUGUUGUCCUUAUCUGGUACUGCCACCUGAUUCAUAACAGCACUGCAUUGUGGCUUGCUAAGCUCUCUUGCUAUCACCCCAUCCCUAC